rnacentral:rRNA from 1 species
GACGAACGCUGGCGGCGUGCCUAAUACAUGCAAGUAGAACGCACAGUUUAUACCGUAGCUUGCUACACCAUAGACUGUGAGUUGCGAACGGGUGAGUAACGCGUAGGUAACCUGCCUGGUAGCGGGGGAUAACUAUUGGAAACGAUAGCUAAUACCGCAUAAUAUUAAUUAUUGCAUGAUAAUUGAUUGAAAGAUGCAACUGCAUCACUACCAGAUGGACCUGCGUUGUAUUAGUUAGUAGGUGAGGUAACGGCUCACCUAGGCGACGAUACAUAGCCGACCUGAGAGGGUGAUCGGCCACACUGGGACUGAGACACGGCCCAGACUCCUACGGGAGGCAGCAGUAGGGAAUCUUCGGCAAUGGACGAAAGUCUGACCGAGCAACGCCGCGUGAGUGAAGAAGGUUUUCGGAUCGUAAAGCUCUGUUGUAAGAGAAGAACGGGUGUGAGAGUGGAAAGUUCAUACUGUGACGGUAUCUUACCAGAAAGGGACGGCUAACUACGUG